CAGUAGCCGCGGUAAUACGGAGGAUCCGAGCGUUAUCCGGAUUUAUUGGGUUUAAAGGGUGCGUAGGCGGCCUUGUAAGUCAGGGGUGAAAGACGGUAGCUCAACUAUCGCAGUGCCUUUAAGACUGCCGAGCUAGUAGGUGAGAGAGGUAAGUGGAAUUCCGAGUGUAGAGGUGAAAUUCGUAGAUAUUCGGAAGAACACCAGUGGCGAAGGCGGCUUACUGGCUCAUUCUAGACGCUGAGGUGCGAAAGCGUGGGGAGCAAACAGGAUUAGAUACCCGCGUAGUCCCUGUCUCUUAUAC
rnacentral:rRNA from 1 species